ACUUUGCGUUGCACAUUCUGCUAGACCUGAUAUGGGCGCAGUACGCAUGCGCAUAUGUACCUUCCCUCCCCACUUUAGGGCUCUGUACUCGGACGCUCGUCUCGGGCAAUGUUCUGGAUACCUGUCAACAGGGAAAAGGAGCAUAGUGUACUUUCUUAAGAAGCACCUGGAAGACAAGUGCCCUUGAGUCAGUUGGAUGAUGUGGAGGAAGAAGCUGCAUACGGGGAAGCAAGUGUGCCUUGGUUCACAAACACUUGUGCCAUAAUAAAUCACGUUGGUCUUCAAGGUGCCACAAGAUCUUUCUGCAAUGGUUUUAGCUGCAAUGAAAUAACGCAUCUGCCUUUCUGCAAAUGAGAAACUGAGACAAUGGAUGUCUUGAAUUGGUGCCUAAGCAGAAUAAUAGACCAGAUGAAGCCUAAGAAAAUGAAACUCAGUCCAGACAAGAUGGAGGUGCCAUUAGUGAAUGCUUCAUCUGCCCAGUGUAGUGGCAUCUAAUGCAUUACAAUGGGGGUUUCACUCCUCCUGAAGUAUCAGGGUGGUGUUUCAUACAGAGGAUAACCUUGAAGGCAUCCUGUGUCUGAAGGGCUUUCCAGGGACAGCACGAAGAUAAACAAUCAAUUGAAAGAAGAGCUGAGUCUUGAAGUGCCCAUCAAAGGCAGCUGAGCAAUAGAAUGAGCCAGGCGCACAGGUCACCUGGCCACUCUGUGGUGGCAUUCCCUGCAUGUCUAUUUAAAUAAAAAUAAUUAUUUCUAAAUUGCAUCUAUAUAAGCAUAUAUAAUUAUUAUGCAAAUUGGCCACCCCUUUUGUCCUUUUUUUGGUGAUACAUUCCUUCACUGGGGGUGAUUCAACAGCAGCCACCCUAACUCAUACCCUCAGUUCAGCUGCAUCAGGGUGAAGAAAGAGCAGAGUUUUCCUUUUGCAUUUCUCACUGUUCAGACUGGAAGAGGUGCUUCAGUCCCCAGAUGGUUUGAGGAGGUCUCCAAGCUGGCACCUUCUGGAAGUCUUCGGCUAUAUCCUCUACAUUGCUGUCAGGGGAUGAUAGGAGCUACAGCCCAGCAUACCUGGAGGGUUCCAGGUUGUGUAAAGCUGGUCUGGAAUGUGAUCUGUGUGCGUUCUUUAGCAUUCCAUCUCCUCUGUAUCACACUGCAUGUGAAGUUCAAUGUGUCACAUUCAGAAGCUGAUUCUUUCCUAAAUUUAGUAGAUGGCUGUGGUGUUGGUACUGGGGGAAAAUCAAUGGUUCUUUCACAAGAUGUGAGAUAGGGCAGUGUCAUGCUUUCCUUCCUUGCUGCAGCCCUGAGGCAAAGCACCUGCCAGUAAUAACCGCCCACCUCUGAUGCAUAGUUAAUCAGUUUCCAUAGAAUGGUAGAGCUGGAAAGGGCCAGAGGGCCACUGGGUCCAACCUCUGCUCAGUGCAGGACUCCCAGUUGAACCAUCCCUCUCAGAUGGCUGUCCAAGUGCAUCCAGAAUGCCUCUACUCUGGGAGAACCACAGCAUCUCCAGCCAGGUUCCAACACUGAAGGGAAGUCCAGUUCAAGGGAACAAUAGUGUGUGGGGCUGUAUGUGGGUCAGUGGAAGGGGGAGGCACCAGCCACAAUUCCUACCCCCAUGCAGUGUAGAAGAGGACACUUCUAUCUCUCACACUCAUUCUUUUGUGUCAUGUUUGCCCCCACAAUUCAGCUACCUUAGCAAUACAGGAUGUGUAUUUGCCAGGACAGUAUCUCAUUUCAGUCUUAGAAAACACCUUGACUAGAUCAGUGUGCAGAGUUUUCCGGAGGUGUCCCUUUCUCCUUGAGAGUUACAUGAUUAGGCAGAGUUAUUUAAUAGAGUCACAUGAAAAUGCCUUUAAGUGGGACAAGGUGACUGACCACAUAUCUUUGUGCCACCAGGGAACUUCUACAAGUGUGUUUAGGCCAGUUGCCACACAACAAACUUUAUGAAGCUACUUUGAUGGAUGAAGCAGAAACUAAGGAAAGAUUCGGAAGUUCUGAAGUUCCUGGUGGCUUUGCUUUGCAUCAGAAAAUGCAGUGUGUAUUUUAUGGGCGCCUGCACUGACUUAUGUAAAUAACAUUCAUCACCUUUGUUUGGAGGAAAUAGAAGUGAUUUUUCACAUGCA